CAGACGACUGUGAAGAAAGGAAUCAUCUCGUACCUAGAUUUGGCGUUCGCACUUGGAGAUUCAUGACAGGCCGCCGUACAGCAUAGAAGACUGUUCACAAGGCUGAUGGUGGCAUUACCUGCGUUCGAAUCACCUCAAGAUAGAAUUGAAAGAAAAUGGAGCAGUGAUGACAUCUUGCACUACACAGAUUUAUGUCCAAUCAGAUGCUCUCUUGAAGGAGAAUGUCCUGCCCCCUUAUGCCGCAUACAACUGACUAAUUAAAUAACACCAGACGAGUUUGAAAUGCUAUGCAGCUGGCCCAUCCCAAGAGUGGUGUGCAUUGUGCCGGGCUGAAGAAAUCUCAUCACUGUAUUGAUACAUCACAAAAGCCAAGCGCAAUCAUUGUCUGUGAAAGAUCCUCUGAGACCAAUUUAGACCCCGAAGACUUUGACCAUAACAUUUAAAUCAGCAAAACGGACUAAUUUAGUGUUGGCUAUGAUAGUUCUGAAUACAAUUAUUGUAUCCUCAACAU